UUCAAAUUUUUCCUUUCUUCCCCCAAAUCCCCAAAACGUUUCCCUCUCUUCCUCUCCCACGCUGCUCCCUCCCUCCCCUCAUCUUCCGCCGCCGCCAACCUCCAAGCACUGCCGCCACCGAAGGCCACCCAUGCCACCACCGGUUAAGCUGACCAUCCAAAACCACCGAACGUCACCAGCUCGAAAUCCGUCUCUGAGUGAACUGAACACGCUGACGUUUGCCUCAGCCACUGCCGUAGCCAUCGCAGGUGUUGAAGCAAGCCUCUAGGCUUUUUGCUGCGAGCUGGGUCCGGGAUACCGGUCCGGAGCUUCGGCCAAAUGAUUAUAAGAAGCAUGAAGAGAGUGAGAGUAAGAGUGAGGAUAAGCCCGGUGGAGCAAAAAGUAAGACUAAAGAGGAAGAACCAUCGGCGUUGGAAGAUGUUGAUACAAUGAUGAAGUUUCCAUUUUUUCUGACAACUCUGGAGCUUAUCUAUAAGCAUGCCGAAACGUGUAGUGUUUUGGGGGAAAAACAUUGCUAUGGUCUAUGGAGUUUGUAUCUUCAUAAGGCUAUUCGAUUGUGAUUUAAGUCCAUGAUCAUGACUCAGGAGAUUCCCAACCAAGUUCAAAGAUUAUAUGGAGUCACUUCAAUCACACUUCCUUAAAUCGCAUUCGAUCGGUGGAAUCAGGAUGCAAAAAAGUUAAAAUUGCCAUCCCCACAAGACAUUGUACUUGAAUGCACCAAAAAUAGGCAGUACAAGGAACAAAUAUCAACGUGUUGCAUCAAAAUAUCCAGUUAACAUCUCUACUCCUUUGAAUAUAAAUGUUUCCAGUUAGAAUGUAGGAACAACCUAAAGAUACAAACAAUGAAGACAAUAAUACGGUACAUCGUGUAAUAGAAAAUUGUCUUCUCCUUUGCUAUUGCUUUGGGUUGCCUCUCCAAUAACCACGGUGUGUCAAUUCUCCCAUCUCUUCUACCUCCGGAUUGUAUCCAGUUUUAACCCAGCUUGCAGUAUAAAGCCUAGAGGCUUCCUUCAACACCUGCACAGCAGCACAACAAUGAUGGCAAGGAACGGAAAGAUGGCAAAACUUGAAGAGAGAAGAUGCAUGGUGGCGUUUAGUGGUGGCAGUGCUUGGAGGUUGGCCGCGGCGGAAGAUGAGGGGAGGGAGGGAGCAGCGUGGGAGAAGAAGAGAGGGAAA